rnacentral:rRNA from 1 species
GUCGAGCGGUAGAGAGGAGCUUGCUCCUCUUGAGAGCGGCGGACGGGUGAGUAAUGCCUAGGAAUCUGCCUGGUAGUGGGGGAUAACGUUCGGAAACGGACGCUAAUACCGCAUACGUCCUACGGGAGAAAGCAGGGGACCUUCGGGCCUUGCGCUAUCAGAUGAGCCUAGGUCGGAUUAGCUAGUUGGUGAGGUAAUGGCUCACCAAGGCGACGAUCCGUAACUGGUCUGAGAGGAUGAUCAGUCACACUGGAACUGAGACACGGUCCAGACUCCUACGGGAGGCAGCAGUGGGGAAUAUUGGACAAUGGGCGAAAGCCUGAUCCAGCCAUGCCGCGUGUGUGAAGAAGGUCUUCGGAUUGUAAAGCACUUUAAGUUGGGAGGAAGGGCAGUAAAUUAAUACUUUGCUGUUUUGACGUUACCGACAGAAUAAGCACCGGCUAACUCUGUGCCAGCAGCCGCGGUAAU